GGGUCGCUAGCUCAAUUUGGCAGAGCAUCGGACUCUUAAUCCGCAGGUUCGGGGUUCAAGUCCCCGGCGACCCA
rnacentral:tRNA from 5 species